rnacentral:rRNA from 1 species
CCCUUAGAUGUUCUGGGCGGCCCGCGCACUACAUUGGCACUCUCAAUAAGUUCCUAGAUCUAAAACUUUGGGGUAUUCUAUUAAGUGGUGUCGUGACUGGGAUUAACCCUUGCAAUUAUUGGUUACGGACGAGGAAUUCCUUGUAAUCGCGGUUUAUCAGCCCGCGUUGAAUGCGUCCCUGCCCUUUGUACACACCGCCCGUCGCUCCUACCGAUGAAUCGUCCGGUGAAGUUCAUGGAGUGGUGGUUGUUCCAGCUGCUGUCGAAGUGAAAUGGACCUCACGAUUUAGAGGAAGGAGAAGUCGUAACA